CAGUUGCCAGAGCCUACAAUGCAGACUUUCUUGCCGGUCAUGGUGCUGCUCCUCUGCCCGAGCCGCCAGCUGGGUGCCCCUCUCCCCAGCUCCCCGCCGGCUGGGAGCCUAUAACUCCAACACACGUGGGUGCAGCCAAGCCCCGCCCUCGAGGGGAGGAUGAGGAGGCGGGCACCCAGGGAGACCGAGAGUCUGGCAGAGCCCAGGAAGGGGGAGAAAAGGGGAGAGACAGGUGGGGAACAGGGAUGGGGCAGAGACCAGGCUACUUUUCCCUUAGGUUUGCCAGCUGACAGUGCUGGCGGCUUCUCCCCUUGGCCCCAGCCCAGGCCCUCGCCCGCCUCCCUGCCCACAAUGGUCUCGUUUUGAGGUCUGCCAAGAGCAAGCCCAGAUAAGGAGCAAGCGAGCAGUGCCCCUCCCUCCCGACUGUCCCCAGCACUGGAAUAAAUUGUAUGCAGUCCUCGCGGCGGAUACUGGGAUGCUCGCUUUUCAAGGAACAAAAGCGUGCCUACUACAGAGCCAGCCUCCCACCACACAUCGCCAUGGCCCUGGCCCUGCGACAAAGGCGCCACUGCCAGGCUGCCAGCUGGGAGCACUGAUUACGGGUGAUGGACGAGAGAAAGAAUGCUUCUGUCCCUGGAUGAGAACCCCAAAGGAUGGCUGUUUAUGCAUAAAAUAACCCCUUGUUUUUGCCUGAC